UACGGAGGGAGCUAGCGUUGUUCGGAAUUACUGGGCGUAAAGCGCGCGUAGGCGGCUUUGUAAGUUAGAGGUGAAAGCCCGGGGCUCAACCCCGGAAUUGCCUUUAAGACUGCAUCGCUUGAAUCCGGGAGAGGUGAGUGGAAUUCCGAGUGUAGAGGUGAAAUUCGUAGAUAUUGGGAAGAACACCGGUGGCGAAGGCGGCGAGCUGGCCUGUACCUGACGCUGAGGCGCGACAGCGUGGGGAGCAAACAGG
rnacentral:rRNA from 1 species